GGGUUGUCUAAACCCGGAGGCGAAAUGAAAGUGAGCCCGGUGCGGGCAGGCCGAUCCCCUGUUCGUGCGGCGGUGUCGGGCCGGCUGGGUUGAGAGAAUAUCCCUGGCCGGUUCCGGCGUCGUCCGUACGGGCGGCCCUCGGGACUCGUGCCCGGGGGAGAUGGGGCGCAGGCCGAGGACUUGGCGUUGUGCGGCCCGGGGGACGGGGAGCUUUCGGGCUCUCUCAACCCGGUGUCCGUGGCCAAGUACCUGGGAGCGCAGCCGUUGGGACCCGAAAGAUGGUGAACUAUGCCUGGCGAGGACGAAGCCAGAGGAAACUCUGGUGGAGGUCCGAAGCAGUUCUGACGUGCAAAUCGAUUGUCAGAGCUGGGUAUAGGG
rnacentral:rRNA from 1 species